GGGAAAUUUAGAGCAUGGAUAAAGAUGCUAUUAUACAAUGCUACUACGUGUAUCAAAACUAAUGGGUUUGUAUCAAGAUACUUUUCUAUUACUCGCUCCGCUAGGCAAGGGUGUCCAAUAGCGCCUCUCUUGUAUAUCAUACAAGCUGAACCCAUGGCAUGUGCGAUUAGGGGUGACAUUAAAAUAGAAGGAUUAAAAUUACCAGGAGGGGGAGGGAACUUUAUAGAAACCAAAUUAUGCAUGUUUGCAGAUGACACCCAGGUAUUUAAUAAAAAUGAAAAAUCUGUAGAAAAUACUUUUAAAAU
rnacentral:lncRNA from 1 species